UGUCCCCCCAAAUUGAGUGGCGGUCGCGCCGCAGCCUCCCUGCGUAGUAGCACACCUCGCACCGGAGAGCGGCUCGGCCACGCCGUGAAACCCCCAAUUUUUUAAGGUUGACCUCGGAUCAGGUAGGAAUACCCGCUGAACUUAAGCAUAUCAAUAAGCGGAGGAAAAGAAACCAACAGGGAUUGCCUCAGUAACGGCGAGUGAAGCGGCAACAGCUCAAAUUUGAAAUCUGGCCGCAAGGUCCGAGUUGUAAUUUGUAGAGGAUGCUUUUGGCGAGGUGCCUUCCGAGUUCCCUGGAACGGGACGCCAUAGAGGGUGAGAGCCCCGUACGGUAGGACCACCAAGCCUCUGUAAAGCUCCUUCGACGAGUCGAGUAGUUUGGGAAUGCUGCUCUAAAUGGGAGGUGUACGUCUUCUAAAGCUAAAUACCGGCCAGAGACCGAUAGCGCACAAGUAGAGUGAUCGAAAGAUGAAAAGCACUUUGAAAAGAGGGUUAAAAAGUACGUGAAAUUGUUGAAAGGGAAGCAUUCAUGACCAGACUUGGGCUUGGUUGAACAUCCGGCGUUCUCGCCGGUGCACUCUGCCAGUCCAGGCCAGCAUCAGUUUGCCCCGGGGGAUAAAGGCGGCGGGAAUGUGGCUCCCUUCGGGGAGUGUUAUAGCCCGUCGUGUAAUGCCCUGGGGCGGACUGAGGAACGCGCUCGGCACGGA
rnacentral:sRNA from 1 species